GUCCGCGUCGUAUAGAGGUUAGUACACCACAUUGUGGCCUUCUUCACGUAAUUUGGACUGUGGAAACGGGUGUUCGAUUCACCCCGCGGACA